rnacentral:rRNA from 1 species
GAAAGACACACACAGCACACGGGGGAUGCCUCGGGUGCGGAAGGGCGAAGAAGGUCGUGGCACGCCACGAAAGGCCUCGGGGAGCCGCGUCGCAGGCAACGAUCCGAGGGUGACCGAAUGGGGAAACCCCGCGGCCGACCGGCCGCGAUGGCCGUCCAGCGGGACGGACCAGGCAAAACCGGGGAACUGAAACAUCUCAGUACCCGGAUCGGAAAAGCAAACGCGAACUCCGCAGUAGCGGCGAGCGACCCGGAGUGAGUCCAAACGCGUCAGGUCCUAAGACGGCUGGAGGCCGGACCUGAGGCGGGUUGUGGCGGCGUUGCGGGAGUCCUCCAGACGAUCCCGCGUGCGCCGGGAGACGAGGGUGAAGCGGUUGGAAUGCCGCGCCCCAGAGGGUGAAAGCCCCGUCGCUUUGGUCUCCCGGCGGCGUGCAACGCCGCCCGAGUACCACGCGGCACGAGAACCCGCGUGGGAAG